rnacentral:lncRNA from 1 species
GUGGUUUUAUUUUGCCCCCCAAAGCAAGCUCUAGAUUUGGAAUCCCAACUUGAAAUUGACCCUCAUACUCACAAGACCCCUCCAGUGGCAUGCCGUUGAGCAUCAAUUGUGAGUCAUUUUUCUUAUGCGAAUCAACGGGAAAGAAGGUUCUUUCCAUGGUUCCAAGGUCCUCAACUGAAGAGAAGGUACCAGGAUGGUUUGCACGGGCCAUAAAACUGCCAUUGGAAGAUUCCCUACCUCCUGAACUACAACUUCCAUAAAUAUCAGUUAAACCUGACUUGAGCUUCUUGCUGGAACUUUCUCCAUCUUCCAAUUUUCCAUUGACCUUAUCCCAAGGCAAUUUCUGAUAACUAUCUGUGGAAGCCUUCAAAACUGCAUUUGAAACAUCUAUAUGCUGAACUCUUUUAUCAUUGGUUUGCUGACAGUUUAUGAUUGUUACAGAUGGGCCUUCUUGAAGCGUUGCCUCUAUGCUAAUAUUGAGAUCUUCUUCUAUCAGUUUCCUUUUAGGCCUAUGUUGAUCUUCAUCAUGGUUAAUUCUCUCUGAAAUUUGACUUUUAGAGGUAUUGCUUGCAGCAUCUGUCUCUUGUUUCUCGGCAGAAGGAAUCCCUGAAGACAGAGAGUUCUCUUGCUUGACUGAAAUGUCAUAGUCACUAUUUGUUUCCACAAUCCUGCUACUUACAAGUGUUCUCAUUGCUUCAGGAGGUGUGGGGACUCUCUGCUGUCCAUCUUUCUGCACAAAGCAAGAACAUCUUAGCAGCAGCACUUCAUAACUGUCAACAUGGUCUCUAAUACCAAAACUUCACCAUUAUGCUUCUAUUUAAUCUUCCCCUUGAUUUAAUAUUUAAGGAUUGGUAACUUUAUAACAUCAGCAAUUCAACUUAAUUGUAGGAGGCUAGGAGCACCAAAUAACCACUGUACACAUUCUACAAUAUAGGAAAUCAAAAUAGCAUUUGAAAUUAAAAAAUUUCAUAGAUCAGGGUCACAUCGCAGAAUUAGCAAAGAAAAAUUCAAGUAUAUCAAAUUAAGCAUUUAAGGGAAAAACAGUACCGGGGAUGAACCUGCGGAAUGCAAUUCUUGGCACAACUGACCACUGCUUGAAAUUAAUAUAUUAUAUACAUUUAUUAUAAUUAAAACAUCAGUAUUUUUGAAAUGCCUUAAAUUCCCAUAGUUUGUUCAUUUUAAAAACCCUCAAGAAAAUCCAUGCUUAAAGAAUGCGCCUUAGUUCAAAUAAAAAACCAUACACGUUAUCGGUGCUACGUUAAAUGGGUCAUACAAGAAGAAAUCCCAGUAAAGAAUUUAGCUAAUCUAUUACUACUACUAGUAGUAAUCAAGUGGGGAAACUAAAGAUGAUGGUCAAUUAUAUGCAAUGCAAAAAGAGACCAAUGAUGAAGUCAGGAACAAAGGAAACCUUGUCAUUUAAAAAGAAAGUCAUCCGCAAGCUCCUAUUGAUAUUUCCGAAGUUAUGCCGGCUGAUUUUCUCACUAUAUAUACAAACAGCCGUAACUGUGUUUUUGAACCAAAAAGAUAAUACCAAAAACAUGUAUUUAUCUAAGGAGUAAAGGAGGGAAGAAAACACAUUUAUUCACUCUAGAGGCUCAUGAAGGUGGAUUAAGGGGUCCUACAUGAUAGGCUAUAGCUUUUAUCAAAGGCAUAUGGAACAGAUAAUGUACAAGAUUAGAGAUAUACUAGGUAGAUUUUAUUUGUCUGUGUAUCUCCCAAAAAGGAGAAACGGAGUAUUCACAUGAUGCCCAUCAGUCGAAUGUUCAGCUUUUGGAGCAGGUUUGACAGGUUCCUUAUUUGAUGAUGGGAAUGAUAGAGACAGCGAAAGAGAUGCAGCAACACUGUUGUCGCCCUCUUGCUCAUCCCCAACUACUUCAGGUGGUUUUUUCUGGUUAUUUUUCUUGUCUACAGCUCCGACGAGAAAAGGGAACAUACCCUUAUGGGGCGGCGCUGGAACUGGCAGUGGCUGUGGUUUUAUUUUGCCCCCCAAAGCAAGCUCUAGAUUUGGAAUCCCAACUUGAAAUUGACCCUCAUACUCACAAGACCCCUCCAGUGGCAUGCCGUUGAGCAUCAAUUGUGAGUCAUUUUUCUUAUGCGAAUCAACGGGAAAGAAGGUUCUUUCCAUGGUUCCAAGGUCCUCAACUGAAGAGAAGGUACCAGGAUGGUUUGCACGGGCCAUAAAACUGCCAUUGGAAGAUUCCCUACCUCCUGAACUACAACUUCCAUAAAUAUCAGUUAAACCUGACUUGAGCUUCUUGCUGGAACUUUCUCCAUCUUCCAA